AACGAACGCUGGCGGCAUGCCUAACACAUGCAAGUCGAACGAACCCUUCGGGGUUAGUGGCGCACGGGUGCGUAACGCGUGGGGAUCUGCCCUUUGCUUCGGAAUAACUCAGGGAAACUUGUGCUAAUACCGGAUGAUGUCUUCGGACCAAAGAUUUAUCGGCAAGGGAUGAGCCCGCGUAGGAUUAGGUAGUUGGUGGGGUAAAGGCCUACCAAGCCGACGAUCCUUAGCUGGUCUGAGAGGAUGAUCAGCCACACUGGGACUGAGACACGGCCCAGACUCCUACGGGAGGCAGCAGUGGGGAAUAUUGGACAAUGGGCGCAAGCCUGAUCCAGCAAUGCCGCGUGAGUGAUGAAGGCCCUCGGGUCGUAAAGCUCUUUUACCAGGGAUGAUAAUGACAGUACCUGGAGAAUAAGCUCCGGCUAACUCCGUG
rnacentral:rRNA from 1 species